CAGCACCAGCCUGCAGCAGCGCCUCAGGCAGUGGCCCGCAGCCGCCGCGCCCUGACUUUGGCAACCCGCAGCUAUUCCAGGACUGCGCCCGUAACCGCAGCAACCUGUUCUUCGGGAAGGCAGGGACAUACAGCCGCCCACUGUUUGGAAAUUGCGCCGGCCCGCUACAGGAGCCACGCAGACACAUUGUAGCUUGCGACACACGUGUUCCAUCUGCCGAGCCGACGCUAACAGAGAGGCCGGGGUGCAGCGAUGUGCUGAAUACGUGCUGGUGUGAAACUCAUUAGAAAGCUGGACUUUUCAAAGCUGCUCCCUUGGCUGGAUCAAAGAUGGGAAAGAUGUCUGCCAAAUCAGUGAACAGCUGGGAUGGACACAUGCACUGGAAGUUGCCACAGGAACAUGUAUACUGGGAUGAGAAGAUGCCUGUGUGAGCCUGCGUACAGAGCAGUCUGAGGAAUUUCUGUUGUGUUGAUUGGUUUAUAUUUGUAAAUUAAAAACCCAAUCCCUGCCUUAAAGGCUUUGCAACCUCAAAUUCUAUGUUGAAUUUUGAGCUCUUUGCCUCAAGAAAGACACUGAGGUGCUGGAACGUGCCCAGGGAAGGACGAUGGAGCUGGGUAAGUGUCUGGAGCACAUGAUAGGUGAGGAAUGGCUGAGGGAGGUGGGGGUGUUCAGUCUGGAGAA
rnacentral:lncRNA from 1 species